rnacentral:misc_RNA from 1 species
AACAAGGCGUACCUGCGGACCUGCGGAAGGAUCAUUACAGAGUUCGUGCCCUCGCGGGUAGAUCUCCCACCCUUGUGUAUUCUCUACAUCUUGUUGCUUUGGCAGGCCGUUGGUUCGCCAACCACCGGCUCGCGGGCUGGUGCGUGCCUGCCAGAGGACCUCUCAAACUCGGUUUGUUAGUGUCGUCUGAGUACCAUAACAAUCGUUAAAACUUUCAGCAACGGAUCUCAGAUCGGAAGA